rnacentral:tRNA from 1 species
GAACUUAGGAUAAUUAGACCAAGGGCCUUCAAAGCCCUAAGUAGAAGUUAAACUCUUCUAGUUCC